GGUUGGAUGGCCGAGCGGUCUAAGGCGCCAGACUAAGGAUCAGCUUCCUCAGGGACCACUUGCCAGGAUUCAUUUCCAGUAAUCUGGUCCGAAAGGGCGUGGGUUCGAAUCCCACUCAAAUCA